GGGGUGUGAAUGAGCGGUUAGAGACUCAGGACGUUAAACUUUUUGAUUUUAGAUUCAAGUGAUUAAAACCACUAAAACAUAGGGACUCAAAAAAUAAGUUACUAUUAUUUAAAUUUGAAAUUAUACAUUUGAUCUCUAACUACAUUAAAUAACAUUAUACUUAUUAUAUUAUUUGAUACAUUUAUAUUUGUUAUAGAUAAUUAUUAAUUAAAUUUGAAUUUAUACGUUUAUCUCUAACUAUAUUAAUUAAUAUUAUAUUAUAUUUUGUGUAUAAAAAUUAAUAUGUAAUACUAUUAUUAAAAGGGAGAAGGCAUUAGAGAGUGACACGUGUACAAAAAGAUUAAAUAAUAUUAUACUUAUUAUAUUAUUUGAUACAUUUAUAUUUGUUAUAGAUAAUUAUUAAUUAAAUUUGAAUUUAUACGUUUAUCUCUAACUAUAUUAAUUAAUAUUAUAUUAUAUUUUGUGUAUAAAAAUUAAUAUGUAAUACUAUUAUUAAAAGGGAGAAGGCACCAGAGAGUGACAUGUGUACAAAAAGAUUUUUGUUUAUUAGUAUAGGAAGAUUAUAUAACUCAAAUCAAAUCAUUAUAUAGCCCAACUUAAAAGCCCACCCUAUCCAAAAAAAAAAAAAACCCAAAUUCAUUUACUUUGGGACCAGAAGAACAGAAGCCACAAGCCAUAACUGCAAAGGGGGGGGGGAACGCAGGUUCCAGAACUGUUCGACUUCAGCUUCUUGUUCGAGAACAGAAGCCAAAACACUGCUCGUUGUUGUGGUCUUGUACUCUUGUUCGACUUCUUCAAUCUUCAUAAGGUUAAAGGUAUGCGUGCUAACGUUUGAUGCUAUUCAAAUACGCUUCACGUAGGAUCGAACUUGGGCCUUAGUUACUUUAAAAAAAAAAGAAGUACUUGAAAUGUUAUGUUUGUUUUUGAAAAAAAAAGUAACUAAAUAAAUUAAUGAAAUGCAAAUUUUAGUGCCAUGUGUUGUGAAAAAUCUUGUAACCUAAACCACCCUCGUCCGCAGCUGGAUCCGAUGCUCGUUCUUACAUAGACCUAAACAACUUCAACAACGAGUUAGACUUUGAGGAACCACAAGAAUUGCCACACCCACCAGGUAGAGACAAAAACAAAACACCAACUACAAGAGCAAAAAAAGGCAAGUCGACUUCUACUUCUACAACGACAACGAGUACCGAGUGUGGAUCGGGUGGCUACUCUAAAUUAGAAGAAAAACUUGCUCGAAUUCUCUUACUAAUGGAACAAGAGAUCCAAUUGCAAAAGAGUAGGCAAAGGGCGGUCGACAUGAAGUUUCUCCGAAAACCCAUUCUCUCUCAUUUAUACGAGGAAGACAGUAUGAUAACGGAAAUGUAGAAAGAAGCCAUUCGAGCAAAAUAUCUACACAAGUAGAAUUUCAUUAUGUUUUAAAAUUAUGUCUUUUCUUUAAGAUGUUAUGUCUUCUUUUAAGAUAUUAUGUCUCUUUUUAAAUUCGAUGUUUUUUUGUAAUGUUGGUU
rnacentral:lncRNA from 1 species